UGGGAAAAAAGGGCCCAAGUUAAAAAAUACCAAAGUUCCUCUUUAAAUAGCAUAAAUCGACAAUUUUACUCUAGGCCUUAUUUUUUUUCUUAUUCCCACUUUCCCUUCUCCUUGUAUCCUUGUAUCUAUUUUUUCCUCCCACCUAUCAUCACUGAUUUUUGUUUGCCUAAUAAACACAGCAGUAUCUCUUAGCCUGGAAAUAACAUACACCCUUUUUAAAGCCACACAAGCUGUGCUUUCACAUAAAACAAUGGACAAUUAGAGUUAAGAUGCUGAGCCUCUUGCUGGGCCAUAAAACAUGGAUAACAAUGAUCAAACUGAAAACAAGAGGCCAAAAACACUUAAACUCCUCAUCUGCUUUCAGCAAGUGUAUCUCACUGGAAAGUUAAUUCAAGAAGGAGUUUGAGCUUGGCCUCCAGCCCUGGAAACCCUGGAUACCCUUGACAGAAGGCCAAGGCUAUCCUUGGCUACCAGCUAUCUCGACAUAUCCAUCAUUUCUUUUCCUUUUUGUUGUGAAACACUCAAGAGUCAAGCACCUUUGUUUGUCAAAGAAGGGCUAGGGAGUGAAAAAAGCUUUGCUGAAAGUAGUUUCACUACUUGCAACACAUGGGCAUUGAGUUCAGACCAAGACAUGUACUGUAAUUUAAAUUUUAAAUGUAAACUAAGCUGUGCCCGAGAACAUUGUGGCACCGCUGAAUGCAGCCCUCUCUAUAAAGAAUUAGUGUUAUAGAAAUGCCUUAUUAUCCUUGAUAACUUAUUCUCUCAUAUUGGUGUCCAAUAUCAAUGAUCCAAUUGACACAAUGAGAACAGUGAAUGAGUCAUUUGGAUUAAAGCUUAUGGAAUAACCUUUAAAGUCCCUGACAUGACUGUAUUGAGAGAUUUGAAGCUCUGCCUAAAAGCAGUGGUAUCAAUUAUGAUAACAGGCUUUCAGUAGUAGCAGUAGUAGUACACAUGUCCAUGGUUCUAUCUGAAGUAUAAUUCAGCUCCACUUGUGACUGUCCUCGCCUUGAGGUAACCUUGUUAGUGUUGCAGUGUGAUUGGACACACACUGGUUUCUCAUGUGACACAGUAAGAGACACUCUACAGAGGCAUACUGGCCUUGUGUGGGUGAGUGUGCAAGCGUGUGUAUGUGCAAGCAUGUGUGUGUGUGUGUGGGUGUGUGUGCGCGCACACGCAAAUGUGUGUGUGUGUGAAGGGGUGAAUGUGGAGAGGACUUUGUCAGAGUGUACUGCAGAGUGGAUCAAGUUUUCCUCCUCUUAAACCAGAUGGUGAUGACUUGUCCUGAGAAGUCUGACCUACAGCUUAUCCCCCUCAUCAAACUGGCUUAACUAGAGAGGCUCACUGGAAACAUGAGGCCUGGUCGUUGUCGUCGUCGAGUAACACAGGCCGACUGAAGAUUAGCAUACAAGCAAGUCUUCAGCCUCUCACUCUGCAGGUCAGAUCUGUCUAUUGUUGCUCCAUUUCCGCAGAAACAGUGCAUAUGUAGUUGCAUGUGUUAUUUAUCAAAUCAUUUUAGUCUGCAUGGGACAUUGCCUGUAGAGAACUCUUUCAAUGAAAAUUUGUAUAAUAGACAUUUGGCAAGUUCGAUGAAUUUGUAUUUUACAAAAACCUUAAAGGCCACAUCAUCACAUAACAUAAUUCAAGUGUCUCAAAUUUAAACAUAUUUUCUAUGGUCAUUUUAAGGUUAAUUUCAAAGGCAUUCUGUUGAACCUUGCUUCACGACUAUUGUGACCAAAUAAGAUCAUGCACAUUAUAAACAAGUGGUCAUCAUGUUGAUCUGAAUACUAUCAGACUUCUCAGUAAACGGGCAGCAUUCAUCAUACCCUCAAGGCUAAAGGUAGUUCCUACAAUUUUUUACCAUGUGUGAAUCAAUGCAUUUCUCUGCAUUGGGCACCAGAGGUAUCACAUGCAUAUUUACAGCUCAAGCUCCAUGAUAAGAUUAAAGCAAUUACAGUGCAGGUACCCUGUUUAAAGUCAAAAAAGUACUUUCAAAGGUGGAAAGACAAUACAAACAGUUCUCAACUUCAAAUGUACUAUAGUAAAGUCAAACUCUUUAUGGUGUCCUUUGCUUAAGUGUGUUUAAGCAGAGCAUUCGAUCUGAUGUGCAGAGUACAAAAAUCAAGCUUCACAACCAAACCCAAAUUAUCCAAUGAAAGUGAAAACUCUGCACUAAAGUGGACUGUGGAAUUAUUCUAUUGAGAAGAAAAAGGAGAGAGACUGAUUUGAUGUAUCCCAAUGUGUGUCAGCCGCUGACUCUGCCUUUCCCUGCGGCUGGGUUAUCUAUGCUGGGUAAUGAACAGAGUUAAGAUGAGAUGAAUGGAUGUUCUGGAUUCAGCACACACAGGCCUUAUCAUCUCUGAAGUAGGGAAGCAGCUGUCAGACAAUGGCUACAACAUACCAUGUUCAGGAAUGGACUCUGGAUAAAUCAACAGUAAGACUGUUUUGACUGUAAUGUAGUGUUACAGGGAUGCUCUUAUUCUCAUCCAUAUGUUCCCAAUGUUACCAUGAAUCCUUGGUGGUGCCACUCUUACUGGCACUUUUAUUUGUAUCAAGUGGCUUUUACCAGAUUACACUUUGUGCAUCCUUGAAAUUGAACAGCUAGUUUGAGGGCAUUUCAUGUCCAAAGCCAAAAAGCUAAGGGGCUGAUAUUUUCCAAAGAAACAUGCCAAGGGUGGCUGAACACUUAGGAAUGGCAUCUUGUUGUAUCGAUAGUUGCUGCACACCAGUGUGUCUUUAAUGUAUAGGAUUGUUGGCAGAGUAUCAAGACAUUUAUCAUAUUGGCCUCACACCAGAGAUGCCAGACUAUCUGAUGUAAAAAAUUGUACCUUACAUGAUCUUACUCAAUGAAUGGCAGGGGAAAAGACUCAAUUACUAAUAUAUAGCUCUAGAAAGUCAAAACUUUGCAGAGCUGCUACUGUUAAGUCACAUGUAUUUAAGGAGCACAUUUAAAAAUGGCCCACAUUGACCAAAGUGCUGUACAGCACAGGCAGACUGCAUUAAAAUCCACAAAAGAAAACAAAACAUCAUUACCUGACACCCAGGGGAUUACACAAUGUGAAUAAAAACAAGAAGCCAACAGCAGCACCAAAUAUCUAGUUUCCUCGAUGUCAAUCAAAUUAGCAACAGAAAACAACAGCUUUGUGUAGUUGCAGAAUGCCCUGUUAACUUUAACCAAAGGUUAAGAAGAAAAAGGUUAUUCAGUGAUAUAAAAGAUGAAUCUGUUCCUUAACUAUUUGAUAGUGUUCUAGUGUCAAAAAUUAUUUCAAAAAACCUAAGUAAAUGGUAUACUCAUGUCAAUAGAUUCAAAAGACCCAUGGUGGUGUGCAUUAUAAGGAUAUCAACUGUCUACUUCAGUCAGACUGCUGAAACUUUUUGAAGUAGUAUUUUGAUCCAAAGACUUUUGAGUCAUCCUUUUUCGGGGAAAAAAAAACCCAAAACAAAACAAAAACAAAUUUCUGAAACAUACAAAAAUAGAAAAGAACUAAAAAUGUUGACCAUGUAGAACUGUGAAGAACGGACACUUAGUUGAUAUUUGACAGAGUGUUUCACAGUAACAGAAGUUCUUGCCACAAUGUUCCAGGUCUGAUUCAGACCCUGCCAACACUGUCUUCCAUUUCUCUCAUUCUACAGCUUCCUCUUUCCAAAUGUGUGCCCAGUUGCAUCCAAAUCUUGUGAGGAGUUUCUUGACAUUUAUCACAAGUGAGAUAAUAGGUUUUUGUAUUAAACCCCUGUUUGUGAUUAGAUUACUACAAAAUAGGUGACAUUUUGUUGAAAAAAUAUGAAGUUUAAGUUUGUAACAUUAGCAUGCUUCCCUCAAUGCACCAUUGAGGGAAGCAUGCUAAUGUACUGCAUUAGUAAAUGCACUGCCCUCCUAUAGGAUGAAUAGCUAUGAUGAAAAAGCAAAAAAAAAAAAAUGUUUUCAUAAAAUGGGACCAGCAUUCCCCAAAAUGAAACUGAACUGAAGUGUGCUGUUAUGAGACCCUAAGAGAGAGAGAGAGAAAGAGAGAGCGAUAGAAAGAAAGAGAGAGAGAGAGAGAGAGAGAGAGAGGGAGGGUGUUCAGUAAGGGCUCAUUAAUUCGGUAGAUGUAAUCAGUAGGAGGGAGUGAGACAUUUUGCCAUCGAUUAAUGAGCAGCUCGGGGUCAUAUGGUGGUGAAGCUGUACUGUAUGUGAGCUGACUGAACUCUGCUGUCAGCUGUGAGACUCUGAUGUAACAAUCAAUUGAAAAGAAAUACAAUAGAAAAUGUAGUGUGGAAUAGUAAAUAAUAGAAAAGUAACACAAAAAAAACAAAAGUAGUCAUAUGUCAGCCCCACUUUGAGCUCCCUCCAGAAGCUUCUAAACCCCAUCUCUAAAGCUAAGCCUGGACACCUUCCUGGAGAGACUCUUGCACCCCCUUGUAUUGGCAGUCUUAUGACCCACAGCUCAUGGCCAUUGGUGAGGGUGGGAACAGAGAUCGACUGGUAAAUCUUUGCCUCCUAGCUCAGCUCCUUCUCCACCACAAUGGCCCAGCACUAUAUCUGCGGUAUUGCUGACUUUGUACCAAUUCACUUGUAAAUUUUAUGAUCCAUGUUACCCCCAAGAUACUUGAAUUCCUUCACUUAGGGCAAAGACUCACUCCCCACCCAAAGAAAGCAAUCCACUGUUUUCCAGCAGAGAACCAUGGCCUUGGAUUUAGAGAUGAUGAUUCUCAUCCCAGCUGCUUUACAUCCGGCCAUAAACCUGCUGGAGAUCACAGCCUGAAGAAACCAACUGAACCACUUCCUAAACCAUAGACACUCCAACCCCCGGCUACACCUUGAGAUUCUGUCUGUGAGAAUCACAAACUGAAUCCAACAUGCACUGAGAAGUUAGACACAUUCCUGCAUUACCCAAAGAUUUAAAUGCCAUCUGUUGAAUAUUUGAACUUCAAAUGUUUAUGGAAACUGGCUGGCGUUAUCAUGACAAAAAAACUGGCAAAAUCACUUUGUUUUACAAGCAACAGUGUUUAUCUGCUGACAUAAAGUGGUUUGGAUAUCCAUUUACCAUAGAUGUCACUGCUCCAGGUAACCAAGCCAAAGGACAUCGCUCUCCCCACCCAUUGAUUACAUGUUGAGGCAACAGCAAAGAAAUGUCAAUUGUUUCUAUUUUCCAUCUCCUUGCAUAUGACUUCCAGUUCAGAUUUAUAUUGUAUUAUGCAAGGAAAAAUCUCAUUCUGCUUCCUUAAAGUGGCUCAUGUACAAAUCUCUCUACCUGCGGGAGAAAAUUCGGCAAAGACUGUUUUUGUCGGCACGCUGUAAAGUGAUUCAUCAUAACCCAACCUGCGGGCAUUGUGACAGGCAGUAGAUGUGAUAGGUUUAUCGAUAAAGAAAAUCAACAACCUGAUGGUCUGGUUGCUUUUUGUAUACCAGCAUCAUUGUUAUAUUGUAUGCCAAAUGUGAACCGUGUAGGACUCAAUUGAAGCUUCUAGAAAGUACUGGGUCCAGUCCUUUUCCAGGCUCUCAGAUGUAAAAGAGAUGGCUGUUCUGCCAUGACUGUAACUGCUUUGUGAACAGAGUGAGAGGAUCAUAUGUGUAAGACAGUUAAGUUUUAUUUUGAUAAAGUAAGAAUCUUUUGUUUUUCUUUUUAACCUUAGACUGCCACUGUUACUUUGAUUUGGAUGUAAAGUUGUACUUCUGUUAGUCGCCCCAAAAAGUACCCUGACUGAGUGACGCCCUUUAAACUUUUUCAGUCCUAAGGUGAGCGCAGUUUCAAUGACAAAUACAUUAAUAAAAAAGUUACGGUUCAGGCAGUUAGAACCAAAACAAUUAGAGGUGAGGAGUCACAUUCAAAAGGGCAUUUAUUUAGUAUGCAAUCACAUUGCUUAAGACAUAAAAUGUAUUUAUUUAUUUAUUUUUUUAAGUGAUAACACUGACAACAGUUUGUUUUUGCUGUCAUAGAUUGGCACCUUAGUAUGCAAAUCAAUACAGCAAAACAUAGCUUGAAGGUUUGUUACCAACUAUCUCAGCAAAUCUGUGAACCAGCCUGAAAUGAAGUUGUGAACAAGUAACUUAGCACCAAGAUCUAAAUUGAAUAAAAAAUGAGGCUAAACUUGAGACUUGAGAGUUACAGCACAAUAACAAUAAGAACUAGGACCCCGUUGGGGCACUGGCGGGCCCGAGCCUUGUCGGAUGGAGCUUUGGAUGGAGCUUCAUGGUUGUCUUUUGGAGAAAUGACCAGUCAAGUUGUGUUUGAAAUUUGAUUUUUUUUUCAGGGGCAAAAGGAGCCUCUGCAUUCUUGUCAAAUAUGUAAAUAGCAUGUUUUUGCAGGUGCUAAAAACCAGACUCUGAGUGUGUGUGUGUGUGUGUGUGUGUGUGUGUGUGUGUGUGUGUGUGUGCGUGUGUGUGUGUCUGUGUGUGCGUUCAAGUCACAUGACAUAUUUAACCGGAUGUAGCUGCAAGACGGAGCCUCGUUGACUCUCCGUUUCAACUUAUCUCAAAAGUGAGGACCUCAACCUAUAUACCAGUUUUUAAAUUGUGUUGAUAGGCCAAAUAAAACCAGAGUUAUGAUAAAUUAUGUCCGCGAUACUUUUUUUCUGCUUAUUUUGAUCACGUUCGGCGCUCGAUCGCGCUGUAUGAGACAGGAAAACAUAGCAUGCAGACAUUAGCGACAGGUCUUACAGGCGGAAAAGGCUUGCCAAAAGAAAAAAAAAACACACCACAACAUCUCUCCUAUUGGUGGAAAACUUCACCACAACAACCAAUCCAAAAUUAUAUGGUGACUGAUUGACAAGGGGAGGGCGCUUACGUUCUUCCUGCAACAUGAGAAGGGAGGGAGGGACUCUCAGCAGGGAUGCAGUCUGGGACACGUAGUUGCAAACCUAGCGACUUUGUUGUUAGAUUCAAUGACUUUUCAGACCCCCUAACGACUUUUUUUUAGAAAGAAAGGGACUUUUAUCGACUUCUUCUGGAGUUUAGAGACUCUGACAUGAAGCAGGCUUUCCUUACUGAGGAGUUAGCAACGCUGCUAAGGGUGCAGAGCCACACAUGCGCUCAGAGCUCUGCAUGGGAGACUGAAGCUGACAGAGCUGCAGCAGUUAGCAGGUUUCACCCUCAGAGACCACCAGGGGUUCAUGUUGAGGCAUUUUUAAUUUUUUUUUUUUUGUGUGCCAUAGACACUGUCAGCACAAUCUGCAGUUACACUAACAAAAAUGCUGCAAAAAACAAAGAAUUAUGGAAAAAUUACACAUGGACUGACAUAGAGGAGGAUCUACACAAGUUUUUUACAUCAUGUUUUACAUCAUGCAUCAUUUACAU